rnacentral:lncRNA from 1 species
UCUUACUAAGGUUUGCAGUCAUUCCAGAAGCCUUAGUAAAGUGGGAGAAGUAUCUAAACAUGGUAAUGACAGCCUUCAAGCCACCUUUUGCAAAGAGUAAUAAAUCAUCAGCAAAGCUCAGAUGAGUAAUACUGAGUUUUUUGCAGCCAGGAUGGAAAAGCAAAUCAGGAUCUUUCUUUAGCUCCACAAGGCCUCUACUAAGGUAUUCCAUCACUAUAGCAAAUAAGAAUAGAGAGAUUGGAUCACCCUGUCUCAAGCCUUUAGCUGCUGGGAAGGGUUCAGUGAUUUCCCCAUUGACCAUUAUAGUAUAGCUCACUGUUUGAACACAUUCCAUAGUCCAUCUUAUAAAUCUGCCUGGAAAGUGUAAGGCUUCCAUGACUUGCUGUAGAAAAAUCCACUCUACAGAAUCAUAUGCCUUUUGUAAGUCUAUCUUGACCAUACACCUAGGAGAGACAUGAG